CCCUUAGAUGUUCUGGGCUGCACACGUGCUACACUGGCAGGUUCAGCGAGCUUCAUGCCCUGAUCUGAAAGGUAUGGGAAAUCUUUUCAAAACCUGCCGUGCUUGGGAUAGAUGUUUGCAAUUAUUCAUCUUCAACGAGGAUUGCCUUGUAAGCGCACGUCAUCAGCGUGCAUUGAAUACGACCCUGUAUUCUGUACACACCGCCCGUCGCUCCUACCGAUUGAAGUUUUCGGUGAGUUGACAGGAGGAUUUUUUUGAAACUGGUUCGCCAGUGGAUUUUAGAUCCAAAUGCCAACGAAUCGAUGGCUUUAGAGGAAGGAGAAGUCGUAACA
rnacentral:rRNA from 1 species